rnacentral:rRNA from 1 species
UACGUAGGUGGCAAGCGUUGUCCGGAUUUACUGGGCGUAAAGGGAGCGUAGGCGGAUUUUUAAGUGAGAUGUGAAAUACCCGGGCUUAACUUGGGUGCUGCAUUUCAAACUGGAAGUCUAGAGUGCAGGAGAGGAGAGUGGAAUUCCAUGUGUAGCGGUGAAAUGCGUAGAGAUAUGGAGGAACACCAGUGGCGAAGGUGACUCUCUGGUCUGUAACUGACGCUGAGGAGCGAAAGCGUGGGUAGCGAACAGGAUUAGAUA